AAACUCAUAAGAUUUCAUCACCAAUAACCAAAUACCUCAUCACAAAUCUGCAUAUACCUCAUAUAGGAUUCUCAAACCAUAAAAUCCUAUUUUUCAAUUUUGUUACUUCACAUAACAUAUUUAAUUCAUUUACUCAUAACUAGUCCAUUUUUAUGAAAAAUGCCAAAUCAGUACAAAUAAAUUUUCUUUUCUGGGAUUUAGCAGAAUAUAGUCCCAUAUUGAACAUAUAUUUUUCUCAGAAUUUUAAAAUUCAUUUACUAUUUUUCAUAUGGCCAAAACUGUCGAAUAUUUAGACAUUUAUCAUAAAUUAUACUUUUAUUCAAAAAUUCCGAAAUUUACAGGGUAUACUGAUAUUAUAUAGAUGUACUCCCAAUAAAAAUUUUAUCAAUUUUGGAGUUAACCACAAGGAGUUAUAAGGGUUUACUUUUAAAAUAGUCUUUUCUCAUAAAAUCCAUAACUCCUAAUCGAUACAUCCAAAUAUCGCCAUUUUUGGACACAAUCAAGAAAACUCAUCAAAUUAUUAUUUUAAAUUUUUCCAGAAUUUUUGAAGGUCCGGAAAAAGUACGAAACUGAAAAACAUAAUAACCUUUAAAAAUCUCUUACCUCAAAAGAGCAGUACUUCUGACCGGAAUGUAAAGCCGAAGGAACCUUGCACUGAAUAGCAAAUCUCAAAGUAUCUAAAUACUCACAAA
rnacentral:lncRNA from 1 species